rnacentral:rRNA from 1 species
UUAACUGGGACGGUAUAUCUGUUGAUUCAGUGAGGACAAAAACUUCACGUAGAGCAAAAGGGGCAAAAGUCAACUUGAUCUCGAUUUUCAGUAUGAUAAAGACUGCGAAAGCAGGCCCUAUCGAUCCUUUUGAUUUUAAGAGUUUUAAACAAGAG